rnacentral:rRNA from 1 species
UACGUAGGGACCGAGCGUUGUCCGGAAUCAUUGGGCGUAAAGGGCGCGUAGGCGGCCUGUUAAGUCGAACGUGAAAUCCCCGGGCUCAACCCGGGAACUGCGUCCGAUACUGGCAGGCUUGAAUCCGGGAGAGGGAUGCGGAAUUCCAGGUGUAGCGGUGAAAUGCGUAGAUAUCUGGAGGAACACCGGUGGCGAAGGCGGCAUCCUGGACCGGCAUUGACGCUGAGGCGCGAAAGCCAGGGGAGCAAACGGG